rnacentral:rRNA from 1 species
GAUGAACGCUAGCGGCAGGCUUAAUACAUGCAAGUCGAGGGGCAGCGCAGUGUAGCAAUACAUGGGCGGCGACCGGCAAACGGGUGCGGAACACGUACAGAACCUUCCUUCGAGCGGGGAAUAGCCCGGAGAAAUCCGGAUUAAUACCCCAUAGUAAAUUGAAAAGGCAUCUUUUUAAUUUUAAAGAUUUAUCACUUGAAGAUGGCUGUGCGCCUGAUUAGGUAGUUGGCGGGGUAACGGCCCACCAAGCCUUCGAUCAGUAACUGGUGUGGGGGCACGACCGGUCACACUGGCACUUAGAAACGGGCCGGACUCCUACGGGAGGCAGCAGUAAGGAAUAUUGGUCAAUGGACGAAAGGCUGAACCAGCCAUGCCGCGUGGAGGAUGAAGGCCCUCUGGGUUGUAAACUUCUUUUAUCUGGGACGAAAAAAGGCCAUUCUUGGUCGUCUGACGGUACCAGAGGAAUAAGCACCGGCUAACUCCGUGCCAGCCGCCGCAGUAACAC